rnacentral:lncRNA from 1 species
UCUUUCAGAGUGGUUUUCAGAAGAAGAGAUGAAAAGCCUGUUUGGGUGUCGGUGACUUUCAGUUUUUUUUCUUCUUCUCUAGUAGCAGGCAGAUGUUGUGCUGCCGAGCUAAAUCCCCAGCCCACAUUUCUUUUCCUUUUUUCUUUUUUCUUUUUUUUCAUAAAGAAGUUUCCUCAGCCAGAUGAAGGAUUCAAAGAAGACCAAGAGGCAGCAGGGGUGGGGGAGAAGGUUAGAGAUACCAAUUCUAAGACUUUUUCCAGCUCCAUGUGUCAAAGUGCCACCUUUGAGAGUAUGGUUUUCUGGGCUCCAAGACAGUGCCUUCACCCUGGAAGACUAAGGGAACAGAACCCUUAUCAGGAGAGGGCUGAGGGAGCUCCAGAGUGCUCUGGACCAAAAGAGCUUGCUCUGGAUCUUUGCUGAUGGUUGUAAAGUGGGACUAGAGAAGAGGUACCUGUCCUUGGAAGCCAAAGACAACUCUGGCUGGCCAAAUUGAUUGGUGAUCUUUGUACACCAAGCAUAGAAACAUAUUAAAAAGCUUAUUGAUA